UACGGGAGGCAGCAGUGGGGAAUAUUGCACAAUGGGCGCAAGCCUGAUGCAGCCAUGCCGCGUGUAUGAAGAAGGCCUUCGGGUUGUAAAGUACUUUCAGCGGGGAGGAAGGCGAUGCGGUUAAUAACCGCGUCGAUUGACGUUACCCGCAGAAGAAGCACCGGCUAACUCCGUGCCAGCAGCCGCGGUAAUACGGAGGGUGCAAGCGUUAAUCGGAAUUACUGGGCGUAAAGCGCACGCAGGCGGUCUGUUAAGUCAGAUGUGAAAUCCCCGGGCUUAACCUGGGAACUGCAUUUGAAACUGGCAGGCUUGAGUCUUGUAGAGGGGGUAGAAUUCCAGGUGUAGCGGUGAAAUGCGUAGAGAUCUGGAGGAAUACCGGUGGCGAAGGCGGCCCCUGGACAAAGCUGACGCUCAGGUGCGAAAGCGUGGGGAGCAAACGAGGAUUAGAUACC
rnacentral:rRNA from 1 species